AAUCAACGCUGGCGGCGUGCCUCAGACAUGCAAGUCGAACGAUUAAGACUUCCUUCGGGAAGUGUAUAAAGUGGCGCACGGGUGAGUAACACGUAAGUAAUCUGCCUUCGAGUGGGGAAUACCUUCGGGAACCGAAGAUAAUACCGCAUAAUGCAGCGGCACCGCAAGGUGACAGUUGUUAAAGGAGCAAUCCGCUUGAAGAGGAGCUUGCGGCAGAUUAGCAGUUGGUAAGGUAACGGCUUACCAAGGCUACGAUCUGUAUCCGGUCUAAGAGGACGGUCGGACACACUGACACUGAAUAACGGGUC
rnacentral:rRNA from 1 species